ensembl:lncRNA
CUGAUAACAUUUACAUUUACAAUGAUUGAUUACACAGCAACGGAGAGUAGACUUUAUCAAAGUAGAUGUCUUUCUGAAAGUGCUGUAACUAGGUUUAAGAAUAUAAUCCACCCACUGUUAUCAUCUUCAAUGCCCUGUACCAACAUUCAGCAGAGCAGCUACCCGAACGCUACUCCAACAGAGGUCGAUUAUCUUGUUAAUAAUUUUACCUCCUCACUACGUACGACUCUGGAUACUGUAGCUCCAGUGAAAACUAAGGCCUCAAAUCCGAAGUAACUGACUCCGUGGUAUAAUUCUCAAACACGUAGCCUAAAGCAGAUAACUCGUAAGCUGGAGAGGAAAUGGCGUGUCACAAAUUUAGAGGAUCAUCAUUUAGCCUGGAGAAAUAGUUUGCUGCUUUAUAAGAAAGCCCUCCGCAAAGCCAGAACAUCUUACUAUUCGUCACUGAUUGAAGAAAAUAAGAACAACCCCAGGUUUCUCUUCAGCACUGUAGCCAGGCUGACAAAAACUUCCGGCUUGAGUGAAUGCUGGCGUGCCUGGCUGCCGCGCCUGGCUGCCGCUACUCACCGGUACAUUUUUCUAUUACUUAGAUUUAUUUGGAUUCAGAUUUGAAUGAACAGGGACAUUCACACUCAGGACCAGAUCGAUCUCUGCCAGGGAUUGAUUUGCAACACUUGUCCUCAACUUCUGUUAUUUCAGCUGAAUGUGUUCUCACGUCCUCUUCUCAGUGAGCUGCACUAGCUUAACUGUUUGAGCUAUUUUUAGUCUACCUGUUCGUCGCCCCAGCCGGCUUGGCUCCUUUUCCUCCACAUAAUCGAAGAUGUGGGCCAAGAUGUUCCUGAGCUGGUCGGCACUAUUUUGGAUUCUCCUCACGCUCGUCUACCAUCCUACGGCUGGACUGCUCCGCUAUACAGCGGCUGAGCUUCUGUGCCUUCGCGGACAGCUAUGGCUCCCAUCGCCGGCGGAGCUCCACUACCACCAGGGCAUCACUUUCCAGCCUCGCCGGAGAUACAUCCAUCGUGGGUCCCACAGGAGUUUCCAUAACUCCGAUGGAACUAAAUUGUUCUGGUCUGCUACUCGCCGCCCUCGCAGGAACCCUGAUCGGGCUGUCAACCAUCGAUCUCUAGCCCACCUGCCCAGGGCGCCCACCGCGAUUAGCAAAAAAGAAAUUACUCCACUCAACUUCGGUCUUCUAAACAUUCGUUCAUUGACAAGUAAGGGACCUCUCAUCCAAGACCUCCUAUCUGACCGUAAGUUUGACUUUUUCUGCUUAACUGAAACCUGGCAACAACCUGAUGACUUUUCUCAGCUAAAUGAAUCUACUCCUCUGGGGUUUCUGUCAGGGGUCGUGUGCGGAAGCGAGGAGGAGAUGACCCACACGCAGGACUCUUGGUGCAGAAUGAGGAGGUUUAUUGGAAAUGGAGAUGACCCACACGCAGGACUCUUGGUGCAGAAUGAGGAGGUUUAUUGGAAAUGGAGAGAACAGAUGACAGGAUGGCUGGCUGAACUUAACGGACUGGUAAACUAGCUGGCUUACUGAACUGAACACGCGACAGGAAAGACAUCACAGGAACAUCACACUAACAUCAAUGACACGACGCCGGACUGGUUGAACUGAGGAACAUAAAUACACAGGCUGAGUGAUGAGAGAUUAGAAACCGGUGAGUACACAGCUGAACAUAAUGAACUAAUCAUAAACGGGAAGAGGACUGAACAUAAUGCACAUGGACCUGGGCUAACACAAUAAAACAGGAAGUGAAACAGACAGAAGAUAAACAGUAAACAUGAAAUAAGAAUACUGGGUCAACGACCCAGAAACCCUGACAGUUUGUUUACCUUUCUAAACCUCGCUGCUCAGGUCGUGGGGGUGGUCUCGCGAUCUUCUUUCGCCAGCACUUGAAAGUCCUGCCAGUUAAUGUUGGUACCUUUAGUUCUCCAGAGGUCCUUACAUGUGAGCUGACUGGACCUAUUCCCACCAUCAUAGCUACUGUAUACCGCCCCCCCAAACCUAACCCUGUCUUCCUCAGUGACUUUGCUAAUCUAUUAACCCAUCUUUCAUCUCUCUCCCCAAAUGUGAUCUUGGUGGGAGAUUUCAACAUUCACAUGGACAAUAAUGACCUUCUGCUCACCAGAGACUUUUCCUCCUGUCUCGAAGGCUCUGAAUUUAAACAAUUUAUCGACUUCCCCACUCACUCUAAAGGACACACCCUGGACUUGGUCUGCUGUUCUGGUCUUACUCCCUCGAAUCUUUCUGCUACUGAAAUCCCCAUAACUGACCACUUCCUCCUUUCAUUUAACCUCACUCUCUGCUGCUCUUCUACCAAGCCAACCAGUCUCAUCUCGUUCCGCAACAUCAAGAACAUUGAUACGGACAUUCUCACUACCACUCAACUUCAUUUACACCUGGUUAAUAAUAAUAUCUACGAGAGAUUUCAAUCUGGUUUUUGCUCAUGUCAUAGUACAGAAACUGCUCUACUUAAAGUC